rnacentral:rRNA from 1 species
ACGACGCUGGCGGCGUGCUUAACACAUGCAAGUCGAACGGGGCUAUUAGAAGCUUGCUUUAAGAGCUUAGUGGCAAACGGGUGAGUAACGCGUAGGCAACCUGCCUCUAAGAUGGGGACAACAGUCCGAAAGGACUGCUAAUACCGAAUGUUGUGAGUUUUCCGCAUGGAGAGCUCAUUAAAGAUGGCCUCUACUUGUAAGCUAUCACUUAGAGAUGGGCCUGCGUCUGAUUAGCUAGUUGGUGGGGUAACGGCCCACCAAGGCGACGAUCAGUAGCCGGUCUGAGAGGAUGAACGGCCACAUUGGGACUGAGACACGGCCCAGACUCCUACGGGAGGCAGCAGUGGGGAAUCUUCCGCAAUGGGCGAAAGCCUGACGGAGCAACGCCGCGUGAAGUGAAGAAGGUCUUCGGAUCGUAAAGCUCUGUCGAAGGGGACGAACGUGGGUUCUAUCAACAACGGAACCUAAUGACGGUACCUUUCAAGAAAGCCACGGCUAACUACGUGCCAGCCGCUGC